CUCAAGGUCUCCAAGGAAUAUUACCCACACCACGACUUCUCCACCUGGAUUUGGCAAUGCUGACCACUGGGCAAGAUGCCCCAGUGAAACAACUGCCACCAGGACCCGGCCCAGGUUGUGGACAAGCAGAAGGAAACUGGAGAAUUGAUCGCACCCCUUUUGCUUAGACAAAUAAGGAUUCCACUUGGUUGACAGACACAUUUAAGCAUCGGCUGCUGACGACAACCUGUUCUAAAUGACAGAGCCCUGGACGUGCUGGAAGCUGUGGACCAGUCCAGCCCAUGUGAAUGCUCCCUAUGUCUUCAGUGCAGUCAGCCAACCAGAUGCUCCUGAUGAGUGCCCCACUGCCUGAAGUCCCUCCUUGCUUUUGACCAGCCUUUUAGGCUUCUUGGGCCCUGAUAACAAUGCCCCAAUGUUACCUUGAAGUAGUUAUAGAAAAGAAAAUGUCAUUCUGUGCCCCCUUUCUAAAAUAGGUUGAAAUGCUGAGUCAAGGGCGAACUCCCUGACUUGGGGCACAAAAUGGCUACCUAUAAUGUUCAUUG